AUGUCCAGCUGCUCGUCCUCCUCCGCCUCUUCUCCAAGCGUCCAUCCUAUCGCAACUCAGCUUCAGAAUUGGGUGCGUAUGAACAAUGCAACGGAGGUUAUGUUAAUUCCUAGAAUCUUAUAUGUUCUUUUGUCUCCUGGUGAUUACUUCGAAUGGCUGUGUGAGGUGGGUAAGUUUUCGACUCUAUGCAAUUCUCGGUGCAAGGGCCCCCGCUUCCUUGUUGUGACGUUGCAGCCUCACUGGGCCUUCUGCAGGUAUGUACAAGCGCCUCUGGCAUACCCUCGAGAAAGAAAGCGAAGGAUAAAUGGAGGCCAAGGAUGGUUGCCGUUUUUUGUAUAUUGUGAUGGCUUCAACCCUGAAACAAGAAUAGAAGGGAGCCUGAGAACACUCAGCUUGCGCCAUGGGUCAUCCAACUUCUUGUUUAUCAGGCUACUAUUUGAUAAAAUGUUUCCUGACGUCCGGACCGGUCAUACUUUUGCAAGGUUAGAUGUGUUCUUAUUGAUGCACUUCAUUGCUUCUUGCUACAUGCUCUGUUUGCUUUGUUUCGUGGCCUACCACUUGUUCUUGUUUGGUGAGAUUAUGAUACAUGCGAGCAUUGUUGUGUCCAACCUGCACAAGAAUGCCAAGAAGUCCUUCUCGGAGACGUAUUGA
rnacentral:rRNA from 1 species